CCCAGCCGGCCCCAUACCCCGUCCGCGCCCCUGUCCCUUCCCCAACGCCAUGUCUCGAUCGAUCGCGAGGCAACGGCGGCCGAUCCCGACCACACCUUCCCCGCACGUCUUGGCUCGCCGCCUCGCCCGCACACAGCAGCGUGAGAGCCGGCCGGCGGCGGCGGUUCGGUUCGGCUAGCUCACCCGGCGGCUACCCAUCUGGCGGAAUCUCUGUAAGCUCUCAAUCUUACCCCUGAAUCCGGCAGCGAUCUGGAAGCCAUCCCACGCAUUUGAGGCAUCGUACGUGACCAGGCCACACCAGGGACAGGCCGUGGUAACCACCGGCCUUAGCUUCCACACACUGACACACUAGCUACUACACUUCAAUUUUCCCUGAGUAGUGUACUAGUACCAAUUAUUCCCUCUUCAAUUUUCUUCUUCUAGUUAUAUAUAUGUCCCUUUAUCCGAUAUCGAUCUUAAUCUGACGAUGGAGAUCAACGUGGACAUAAAAUACCUGCAGGUUAAUUUUCUGAUUCUUCUGUGCUAAUGUUGAUCUACUUUUACUGCACCAUCACUUCUUUCUCUUUUCUAAUCUGCAAGAAUCUUUCAGAGCAAGCUGCUCUGAGUCUCAGGCACUACAAAGUGCCAAUCAGUUUUCUGUAAGUGGAUGUUCACUUCAAUUUCAGAUAUAUUCAGCUGAUACAAGUACAGGUAAAGUGUGUUUGCAGUGCGAUUGUCAUCCUAUCAUAAAAUUUACAACGAUUGCAAGUUUUGAUCCUUGUACAAGCUGUGCUUAGGUAUGGCAUUCUGUACAUAAGUGUUCUUCAUCAGAAAUAUAAUCCAAAGAUCCGAUUAAUUGUAAUCCCAAGAACCAGAUCAAAAGACAUUUAUACUGUGCUAUACUCAUCUUAAAAAAAUAAUUAAUCAGCAUUGUAAUAUUUUAAGAGCAUUUUAUCAUGUUCCAUUUCAAGCAGUGUUUGCAAUUCCGAUCUGAAAUUUCGGGAAUUAAUGCCCCCUGGCAUGACACUAUUUUACCCGAUUUUUUCAUUUUUUUUAAUUCAGUCAAAUUUUGUUCAUUUUUUUAAAUCAUUCCAAAAUAUGGCAAACCGUACUGAUUUCAAGGCGAAACUACCUGACUUAAUGUCUAUGUAAGUUGUGCUUCCGGCCGUCUCAUAUAUAUGUGCGGGUGAUUUAAUUUGGCUAGUUUGGAACCAAAUUUAAUUUGGCUGUCUCAUAUAUAAAGUAGCCGCUUUUUAUUGGUAAUCCUGAUUCCACCUAGGCACUGCUGAUUGAGCAGUCAAGACAUGCAUAUGUAUAAUCAAAUUAAAUAGUGCAAUAACUUAGUAAUAUUUGAAGGUUAUCAUGCAGUAUGCAUACUGAACGAUGUGGCACAUCAUUAUAGGAGUAGAAUGUAAAAUAAUAUUUGGAGAUUUACAAAUAAAUUAUCGUUUUGAGAAUUAAUGUUAUCAUUUUUUUUCCCUGCAGUAGUAGUCACUUGAUAAAUAUGAGGGUAACUUUGUUUGGCUGGCGAACAAUAUACAUUAGACUAGGACUUAUGUUUGUGGGGUGCAUUAAUUGUGUAAUCCAUAUUUCUAUUUUAAAAUAAGUAAUUUCUGUUUUCUUCACACAAGAAGAUUCUUACAGUUGGCUUGAAAAAAAAAUCAGUUACUCGCUUUCUUGAUUCAAUUUUUAUUUGCUCGUUGCUGCUACAUGAUUGAAGAAACAAUUCCAUACAAAACUCGAUCUGAUUAGCCCAUUGUAUGCAUGUUAAUUUGAAACUUUUUAUUAGAAAAAAAAAUCCAAUUUCAUAUGCCGACUUAAUAUAAUGUAUUUUCUCACUAUUAUUACCUUUAGACCUUUCAUUAUCAUUUGCUACCCAAGUUUGGCAUAUAUAAUAUACUCUCUCCGUAACAAAAUAUAAAAAGUUUUGGUUAGAUGGGACG